AUUGAACGCUGGCGGCAUGCUUUACACAUGCCAGUCGAACGGCAGCGCGGGCUUCGGCCUGGCGGCGAGUGGCGAACGGGUGAGUAAUGCAUCGGAACGUGCCCAGUAGUGGGGGAUAGCCCGGCGAAAGCCGGAUUAAUACCGCAUACGACCUGAGGGUGAAAGCGGGGGACCGAAGGGCCUCGCGCUAUUGGAGCGGCCGAUGUCGGAUUAGCUAGUUGGUGGGGUAAAGGCUUACCAAGGCGACGAUCCGUAGCUGGUCUGAGAGGACGACCAGCCACACUGGGACUGAGACACGGCCCAGACUCCUACGGGAGGCAGCAGUGGGGAAUUUUGGACAAUGGGGGCAACCCUGAUCCAGCCAUGCCGCGUGCGGGAAGAAGGCCUUCGGGUUGUAAACCGCUUUUGUUCGGGAAGAAAUCCUCUGGGCUAAUACCCCGGGGGGAUGACGGUACCGGAAGAAUAAGCACCGGCUAACUACGUG
rnacentral:rRNA from 1 species